ensembl:lncRNA
AGCGGAGCAGAGGAGGGUGGGGGGUGGAAGAGUAUGCAGAAAAGUGGCAGUGGUCUUUUCACUAAGCGUUUGUGUCUGGAGCUUUCACUAGCUUCUACCACUCUCUCGCUCUUAUUGUUGCUUAGAGUGGAGGUUGAAACUGGAUUUAACUGACUCUUAAGAAAGAAAGUAAAGUGAAAUAGAGUAGCAGAGCAGAACGCGUGUUGUACAUGUUUUUCAGAUGUCUCAUGUAUGAAUAUAAAGAAUGGUCACCACACGGAACAAACGGAUGAAGUUGUGGAGUUGUGGAUGAAUCUGCAAGUUCAACAUGGAAUUGAAUAUUUCGCACAUGGAGAUUUUUUUGUGGGCAACGGAAUUGGCCUAGUCUGCACCCUAAGCCUGACUCCAUAUUGCCGCCAGGUGUAGGCUGACUCCGGUAUGGACAUCGAACUGGUCAGCACCAUAGACAGAAGUCCUCCACUGUUUCGGCGAGGGCAUACAGGCACCCCUCCUCUCCUCUGCAGUGUGCCACAGUGCUGGAUGAAGACUAUUGUUCUGGUGCCCUCGUCUUCCUCUGGCACCACACUUCACCCACCACACCAGCCCACCUCGUCAAACAAAUGGCUUUCAACCUACUUUCCUAUAACAGAAAACAGAGCAGAGUGGAGUCAGCAUUCACAGUCAGAGGCAGGCACAAGCACCAGAUAAACGCCCCCUUUAAAUGUGUGUAUACUGUAUGUACAUGUGAGUGUGUGUCAAGUGCUUCUUUCUGUCAUUUUUUCACAAUGCACUGAGUAGAUGGUCCAGAUGGAAUCUGCAGUCGGUUUUCACAUUUUCAGUACAGAUUUUUUGCUGAAAAUAUGCGCAAUUCUGUGUAAUGGAUUUAAACAUGGCAAAAUGUGGUAAAUUGAUCUGAAAAUACUCCAUUAGUAUUCUUGGUAUCUAAAUGGAUAUUCGUAUUAGCCAAAUUAUUUAGUAAACAUACAAAGAACAGGAAAUGUGAACAAAUUAGUGAAAGAUGUUACAUUUCUGUGUAAAUGUGCAGAUUGCAUGUGGGCCUAGAAAUCAGCAUUCUGUGCAAUAUAGUGUCUCUACAGAGCUAUUUAUAUGUCAUUCUUCUGAAAGCUGUUUGAUUUCAUCUUUUAAAUGUGUAUGAUCUGUUUAUAUUUUCUGUUUUUCUUUUUCCUAUUUAUAUGUAUUUUACGUCUGUCCUCUGUAUCAUCCCUCCUGCCACUCACUCCUUUUGCCAGCCACAAGCACUGAGAAUAUUCCUCCUUUCUCUCUCUCUCUCUCUCUCUCUCCUUCUCUCUUGCUCCCUCUAUUUCCCCCCUUCCCAACCCUCUCUCUGCCAACUAAAGCCCAUUCAUAAUGAAUGGCAAGGUACGAUAAUAGCCUUUCGGUUGCUAUAGUAACCAGACAGGAGCUCUGUUCGUGCUGUAUUUUUUGUCCUUUAUUUUUUAUUUUUUCCAAGGGGGCAAAUGGCAGUGGAAUGUGGGGCGAAACCCUCCCUUUCACUUUCACUUUCCCUCAUUCUUUUUCUCAUACACUCACAGCAGAUUCCCUCUGUUCUUUCAUAUUUGUCUGUCCUCCUCUACAUCCU